UUCCGGUUGAUCCUGCCGGAGGCCACUGCUAUUGGGAUCCGACUAAGCCAUGCGAGUCGAGAGGGUUCGGCCCUCGGCAGACUGCUCAGUAACACGUGGAUAACCUACCCUUAGGUGGAAGAUAAUCUCGGGAAACUGAGAAUAAUACUCCAUAGAUCUAGGAUGCUGGAAUGCAUCUAGAUUGAAAGCUCCGGCGCCUAAGGAUGGGUCCGCGGACUAUCAGGUUGUAGUCAGGGUAAAGACCUGACUAGCCUACGACGGAUAUGGGUUGUGAGAGCAAUAGCCCAGAGACGAUAUCUGAGACACGAUAUCGGGCCCUACGGGGCGCAGCAGGCGCGAAAUCUUCACAAUGUGCGAAAGCACGAUGAGGGGAUCCCAAGUGCUGGCACGUAAGUGUCAGCUGUUUCUUAGUCUAAAAAACUGAGAGAGUAAGAGCUGGGUAAGACGGGUGCCAGCCGCCGCGGUAAUACCUGCAGCUCAAGUGGUGGCCGCUAUUAUUGGGCCUAAAACGUCCGUAGCCUGUUUAGUAAAUGCUUGGGUAAAUUGUGUAGCUUAACUAUACGAAUACCGGGUAGACUGCUAAACUUGGGACCGGGAGAGGCUAGAGGUACUCCUAGGGUAGAGGUGAAAUUCUGUAAUCCUAGGGGGACCACCAGUGGCGAAGGCGUCUAGCUAGAACGGGUCUGACGGUGAGGGACGAAGCCCUGGGGCGCAAACCGGAUUAGAUACCCGGGUAGUCCAGGGUGUAAACGCUGCUUGCUUGAUGUUAGUUGGGCUCCGAGCCCAACUAGUGUCGGAGAGAAGUUGUUAAGCAAGCUGCCUGGGAAGUACGGUCGCAAGACUGAAACUUAAAGGAAUUGGCGGGGGAGCACAGCAACGGGUGGAGCGUGCGGUUUAAUUGGACUCAACGCCGGU
rnacentral:rRNA from 1 species